rnacentral:rRNA from 1 species
CCUACGGGAGGCAGCAGGGGGGAAUAUUGGGCAAUGGGCGCAAGCCUGACCCAGCAACGCCGCGUGAAGGAAGAAGGCUUUCGGGUUGUAAACUUCUUUUGUCAGGGAAGAGUAGAAGACGGUACCUGACGAAUAAGCCAAGGCUAACUACGUGCCAGCAGCCGCGGUAAUACGUAGGUGGCAAGCGUUGUCCGGAUUUACUGGGUGAAAAGGGCGUGUAGCCGGGUUGAAAAGUCAGAUGUGAAAUCCUGCGGCUUAACCGCGGAACUGCAUUUGAAACUGUUGAUCUUGAGUACUGGAGAGGCAGACGGAAUUCCUAGUGUAGCGGUGAAAUGCGUAGAUAUUAGGAGGAACACCAGUGGCGAAGGCGGUCUGCUGGACAGCAACUGACGGUGAGGCGCGAAAGCGUGGGGAGCAAACAGGAUUAGAUACCCCUGUAGUC